UUCGACUCCUACAACAAACUUUCACCAUACAAAAUAAUGAAGAAAACACCCAAAAAGGUUUGAAUGUGUGAGGUUAGUCUCAUUUUUAAAAUAGUGACUUGUUUUUUUUAAAAUGUUUUUUAAGAAUGUUUUUUCAGCUUUUUAUUUUAUUUUAAACCUAAAGGUAGCGUGACUAUUGUGGAGAAAUAAAGAAACAUAAGAAAAAAUAUUUUUGGUUUAUAGUAAGAUGUUGUUUUAAAAUAUAUAUUUAAAAACAAUGUCACUAUUUUAAACGGAAUAUAGACAUUUUCUAUUAAUGAGAUUAACGUCGAGCAUUUGAAUUUCUAGAUUUUUUUCUAAGUUAUUUUGUAUGUUGAAGGUGUAUUGUAGGAAUCGGA